AAACGUAUAAAAAAAGAAACAGAAAAAUGAUAGAGGCAGCAUAGAAGGAACUGAUAGUGAGUAAAGUAUAAUAUCAACAACAAAGCAGAGUGAGGAAUAUAAAAUCUACAUCAAACUCUCUCAAGACAGUGCAUCGUUCGUCCAGUAGGUGGCGGUAAUGCACCUUCAAGUUGGUUGCCAACCGCCAAUAAACUCCAUAGAAGAAGAAGAAGGAGGAGGAGAAGAAGAAGAAGAAGAAGUAGAAGAAUGCAAACAAUACACGCAUGACUAAGAGAAAGAGUGGCAAAAGUCUGUAGCGGAACAAAGUUGUAAACAAACGCCAUGUGCGGAGCAGCUGUUCUCUCAUUGGUCAGAAAUCCCGGAAGGAAAACGCCGGGGAAAAACAGCAACAAUGGAGCACAAACAGCGUGUGUGGCUAGUUUGUUUUUGCGCGUUUCUGUGGGUAAUAUACCAGUGUUAUCUGCAUGAAGAAAAUAUCCACUAUUACUGGGAAUCCAGACUGCGCAUGGAAAAUAAUGUUUUACUCCAUCUACUAAGAAGAAGACGUGCUGCAUCAAGGAAUCGCCGGCGAAGAUGGGCUCUGAUGGGUGCACUGUCUGCACAUCACAUACUCACACGACACUACAGACGGUGCAUCAGGGAAAUAUGGGUGUAUCCACGCACUAAAUCUUGGUGGCCACACAUCUCCAGCACUUGGACUGACCACGAGUGGCUUCUGAACUUCAGAAUGCGAAGAGGCACUUUCUCACAAUUGUGUGAUGCCCUCCGGCCCUGGUUGACCCGACAAAAUACCAGAUACAGAAAGCCAGUGCCUGUUGAAGUUCGAGUGGCAGUCUGCGUCUGGAGACUGGCAACAAAUUUGGAAUACCGCUCUCUCUCACACCUUUUUGGGCUUGGCUUGUCCACAUGUUGUGUCAUCACUCAAGAAGUUGUCACUGUCAUAAAUGCAAUACUAAAGCCACAGUACAUCAAAACACCCUCUGCUGCUGAGUUCAGAUUAAUAGCACAAGGCUUUCGUGAUAAAUGGAGAUUUCCCCAGGUAGCCGGUGCGAUUGAUGGAACACACAUUAACAUCAGAGCUCCUUCUGUUGCGCCAGCUGAUUAUUAUAACAGAAAAGGGCAUUAUUCUAUUAUUUUGCAAGGUGUGGUGGACCACAGACUGAAGUUCUGGGACAUUAAUGUUGGGCGACCAGGUAGGAUCCAUGAUGCCCGUGUUUUUGCACUUUCAGGACUGUAUGAGCGAGGUAAUAGUGGCACACUAUUACCUAGAAUGACAGAAACAUUUGAAGGGGUUGAUGUCCCGCUUGUUAUUUUAGGUGACUCGGCCUACCCUCUGCUCUCAUGGUUGAUGAAACCUUACCGUGAGGUUAGAGGAGUAACACAAGAGCAGAUAGGUUUCAACCAUCGCCUGAGUCAAGCUCGCAUGACUGUAGAGCGUGCCUUUGGGCGCCUCAAGGGCAGAUGGAGAUGUCUGCUAAAGCUAUGUGAUGCCCACAUUUCCCUGGUCAGCCAAAUUGUGUCAGCAUGUUGUGUGUUACACAAUUUUUGUGAAGUUCACAACGAACAGUUCCUGGAUGGAGACACUGUGAUGGAGGAAAAUGAGGACAACAGUGGGAUGGAUUUGAGACAAGACCCACAAGUGGACAAUGAGAGAGCAAAUGAAAUUAGAAAUGCACUUUGCAGAUAUUUUUCUAGACUGUAAUGUCAAGAUUCCUGUUUUUUAUUUAUUUAUUUAUUGUUCUUUAUUGCUUUGUGUGUGAUAUAACGGUUCUCGUGGUUGUAAAAAAGUUCAUGGAGGCAGGCUGUUUAUUCUAUUGUCUCUGUUUUAUUAUUUGGAUUAUAAUAAUCAAUAACCAAAAUGAUCCAAUGUUGACAAAAAACAAAGGCUGCAAAGUUAAACUUUUUCUUGGAUUACAAGCACUUUAGUAGGUCAACACAGGUCAGCUGUCUGCUUCAAGUAGAGUACAAUAUUGUGUAACAACAGAACUGACUGAAUAAUGGCAUUGUUAGAAAAAUAAAAUGGUAUUCAGAGUAAAAAAAAUACAAUGCUGUUUUUACAGUUUGUACAUUUUUCUUCUUUGCAAAAUGCAAAAUAAAGUGCAAAACAUGUUUUCAAGUUUUGACUAAAGCUUUUUUUUCUCUUUACAAUCAAACAAUAGUAUAACUGACUUCAACAGCCAUUUCUAACCAGUAAUGUACUAGACUAGGUGCUCGACACAGUUCACUAGUUCCUCAGUCUGUCAGUAAAACAUUGUAUAACAAUUUUUAAUCUGUUACGAACAAAAACUGCAUAGAUUAAUCAAUUCUACAAGUUGAAGAAUUGCUGUGUUGUGUUGUUAACAUUAUGCAAAACAGAAGAGACAUCAGUGGAUUGAUCUGGUGUUUCACCAGGUUGGCUGGCCUGCUGUAGGUGGACUGGGGGCUGUGGAGCACAAGGUGGUGGAUAGGGCUGGUGCAGCAGUGGAGGCACUGGCAUCAUCAGUGGUGCAGAUGCACCCCUCUAUUUUGAGUGACGAAGCCAGUCUGGGGCACACAACCCUUUCACCAUCCGAGUUUGGGUGUCCUCUCUGCCCCAAAUUUAAAACCAAAAAUGAGAGCGCAAUCCAGAGGCACCUGAAAAACUAUACGGAAAAUGCAGUUAAUUUCCAUGGUCCUGAAGAUAAAGGAAGCUCUGCUCCAAGUUGCAGCAGCAUAAGCAGCAUUGGAUCAGGAUCAGUCUCCAAAGUGAAGUUCCUAGAAGCCAGGAUCCAAUGGCAAGAAAAAAUAAUAAAGGAUCUUGAGCAAGAGCGCAAUUUCUUGUGUGAGCAAAUCAUGGGAAAGAAGAAAUCAUCUCAACCAAAAGUAUUUACUUUGGAGGACGACGACGAGGAUGACGAUGGCAACAUGGAUGAAGAUGACGCCAGAGAAUGAAUAAUACAGCUUCUGUCAAAUUUAAAAAUGAUGGAUGGUGACCUUUGACCU